GACUGAAUAACAUAACUGGAAAAUGUUUUUGAUUGCAACUCAAAAAAUGAUGGUUCAACUCCAUCUUUGGUCU
rnacentral:tRNA from 1 species